GUCUGAGCGCACAGCGCGGGGCACUGCGCUCUCCUUCAUCCGAAAGGCGCUCGGUUAUCGCUCUCGGUCAUCCCACGCCGCCUCCCCUCUGCUGUUGCGUUGCGCGAAGACCGUCGGAAGAUAGAAACGAGCCCAAACGCCGCCCGCUCGGCAAGCUAAACGCGGAUCUCGCAAAAUCAUCUCUCGAUGAAGAUUUUUUCACUAAAACCAUGGGAGAAGUUGGGAUUUUCUUUGGUUCGAC
rnacentral:lncRNA from 1 species